GACGAACGCUGGCGGCGUGCUUAACACAUGCAAGUCGAACGGAAAGGCCCUGCUUUUGUGGGGUGCUCGAGUGGCGAACGGGUGAGUAACACGUGAGUAACCUGCCCUUGACUUUGGGAUAACUUCAGGAAACUGGGGCUAAUAACGGAUAGGAGCUCCUGCUGCAUGGUGGGGGUUGGAAAGUUUCGGCGGUUGGGGAUGGACUCGGGGCUUAUCAGCUUGUUGGUGGGGUAGUGGCUUACCAAGGCUUUGACGGGUAGCCGGCCUGAGAGGGUGACCGGCCACAUUGGGACUGAGAUACGGCCCAGACUCCUACGGGAGGCAGCAGUGGGGAAUAUUGCACAAUGGGCGGAAGCCUGAUGCAGCAACGCCGCGUGCGGGAUGACGGCCUGCGGGUUGUAAACCGCUUUCGCCUGUGACGAAGCGUGAGUGACGGUAAUGGGUAAAGAAGCACCGGCUAACUACGUG
rnacentral:rRNA from 1 species